rnacentral:rRNA from 1 species
AGUGAACGCUGGCGGCAGGCCUAACACAUGCAAGUCGAGCGGCAGCGGGUCCCCNCGAGGGAGUGCCGGCGAGCGGCGGACGGGUGAGGAACGCAUCGGAAUCUGCCUGGUUGUGGGGGAGUAACGUAGGGAAACUUACGCUAAUACCGCAUGCGACCCUGAGUCGACGGACUGGGGGUGAAAGUGAGGGACCUUCGGCCUCACGCGACCAGAUGAGCCGAUGUCGGANAGUCUAGUUAGCGGGUAACGGCCCGCCAAGGCGACGAUCCGUAGCUGGUCUGAGAGGAUGAUCAGCCACACUGGGACUGAGACACGGCCCAGACUCCUACGGGAGGCAGCAGUGGGGAAUCUUGGACAAUGGGCGCAAGCCUGAUCCAGCCAUGCCGCGU